GGCGGUUCUCAGGUGACACACCCUGGAAUUGGGCUCCCUCUUCUCUGGUUCCAGGUGUGUCACCUGAGAACUGCA
rfam:Myotis lucifugus cont2.8892, whole genome shotgun sequence.